rnacentral:rRNA from 1 species
GAUGAACGCUAGCUACAGGCUUAACACAUGCAAGUCGAGGGGAAACGACAUCGAAAGCUUGCUUCCGAUGGGCGUCGACCGGCGCACGGGUGAGUAACGCGUAUCCAACCUGCCCACCACUUGGGGAUAACCUUGCGAAAGUAAGACUAAUACCCAAUGAUAUCUCUAGAAGACAUCUGAAAGAGAUUAAAGAUUUAUCGGUGAUGGAUGGGGAUGCGUCUGAUUAGCUUGUUGGCGGGGUAACGGCCCACCAAGGCGACGAUCAGUAGGGGUUAUAAGAGGAAGGUCACCCACAUUGGAACAGGGACACGGUCCAAACUCCUAGGGGAGGCAGCAGUGAGGAAUAUUGGUCAAUGGACGAGAGUCUGAACCAGCCAAGUAGCGUGCAGGAAGACGGCCCUAUGGGUUGUAAACUGCUUUUAUAAGGGAAUAAAGUGAGUCUCGUGAGACUUUUUGCAUGUACCUUAUGAAUAAGGACCGGCUAAUUCCGUGCCAGCCGCCGCGGUAA